AAUGAACGCUGGCGGCGUGCCUAACACAUGCAAGUCGAAUGUGCCGCAAGGUGCAUGGCAGACGGGUGAGUAACGCGUGGGCAAUCUACCUUUUCGUGGGGAAUAACGAUCCGAAAGGAUUGGUAAUACCGCAUGAGACCAAUGGCUGGGAUGCUGUUGGUGAAACCUGGGGACCGCAAGGCCUGGGGCGAGAAGAGGAGCCUGCGUCUGAUUAGCUAGUUGGCGGGGUAACGGCCCACCAAGGCGACGAUCAGUAGCCGGCCUGAGAGGGUGAUCGGCCACACUGGAACUGAGACACGGUCCAGACUCCUACGGGAGGCAGCAGUGGGGAAUUUUGCGCAAUGGACGAAAGUCUGACGCAGCAACGCCGCGUGGGUGAUGAAGGUCUUCGGAUUGUAAAACCCUGUCGUCGAGGACGAAGGUCGGGGGGUUAAUAGCCCUUUGGCUUGACGGUACUCGGAGGGAAGCCCCGGCUAACUCUGUGCCAGCAGCCG
rnacentral:rRNA from 1 species